CUGUUAUCCAUCCCCUUCAGAGCUGAGACACUCAGGACUGAACAGACUGCACAGUUUCUGUGACAGAGCCUCCAAAACACCUUCUUUGAAACCACACAUGAUAGAAGGGCUUUAUAUUUGCAGCAGCACUACUACAGUUGGCAGGAAUGUUGCUGCAGGAAAACAUCCCUGGAGAUCACCAUCAUUGUCAGACUGACUGUGCCUCCUCUGUGCAGUGUCAAGAUCCUCCCUAAAUGAGUGUUCCUCAGCCAUCCUGCUUCUGUGCUGCUUGCCACACAUCAAACACUGGCCGGAUGACAGGGAGGAUCCACUCUGAAGUCACUGGACAUGAUGAGGAUCAUAUGGGACUUUAUAGUUUCACAGAAACGUUGUGCUCUUUGAUUACAGGUUUUAAAUGGACAUAAUGACUGCCUCUCUCUGAUCAACAGGCUAAAGGAUUGUUUUCAUUGUUAGUGCUCUGUACAGUGUAUGCUUAUUUAAUAUUUCAUCACAGAGCAAACCUUUAUUUAUUUAACAUAUUCUUAUUUUGUUUUAAUGUUGAAUUAACUGUGGGGAUUGUUUUAAGUGGGCACUCGGGAUGUCAUAUGACCAGAAAUGUGGUAACUGGAAUUCUACAGUAUGUAAAAAAAAAUCUGCUAAGAACAAAACACAGACAAAAAAACCCCAAGAGAACUCAAAUUCAUUCCAUGUAAUCCAAUCUAAAACAUUUUAAACUGCUGAACAGCAACACAAACAGUGUUAAAAACCAGUGUUAACAGAAUGAUUAUGAUGAGUUUGUACCAAAGUUUCAGGUCACAUGGCACACCUAGUGUGUAACGUGGGGUAUCAGCUGGUAAGUAUAGGUUUUUUCAUAUUUGUGUCCUUAGAGUUCAGAUAGAUAAAGCCUUGUGUAUAAUAAUUAGUCAUAAACACAACUCAAAGUCAGGGACUAACUAAAUUUGGGACUUUGUGUCUGAGCCCACAGACACAAAGGUUAAAACACAGUGUUAAAAAGCAUUUAGUGGCAUGGCUGAACAAUGCUGUAAAUUAAUGAUACUUAUUAAUCCAUGUUCACAAAAAGGACUAAUGUGUUCAUUUGAUUAUUUGUAUGUGUUAAACUGUGUCACCACCUUAGGCUUUCAUUUGAGUUUACUCAAAAAUAUCUAUACAGUUGUCUUUUACCACUGUGUGGACACUGUUUACAUUAAAACAUAAAAAAGAAUGAGUAAUAAAAAGAUGUGUAGACAGAUCAGUGGAUUAAGUAGACCGAUAGAAACAGCUGUUCAGCCAUGUUCUAAGAAACCAACACAAGACAACACAGGUUCAGGAUUGUGGUUUUAAAAGUUGAAUUUUCAUGUAUUUCAUAUGUUGCUUAUUAUUUUCAUUUAG